rnacentral:rRNA from 1 species
GACGGGGCCCGCACAAGCGGAGGAGCAUGUGGUUUAAUUCGAUGAUACGCGAGGAACCUUACCUGGGCUCGAACGUAAGAUGACUGUAGGUGAAAGCUUACAUCUCUUCGGAGCAUUUUACGAGGUGCUGCAUGGUUGUCGUCAGCUCGUGCCGUGAGGUGUCGGGUUAAGUCCCAUAACGAGCGCAACCCCUGCAUUCAGUUGCCAUCGGGUAAUGCCGGGCACUCUGGAAGGACUGCCAUCGACAAGAUGGAGGAAGGUGGGGAUGACGUCAAGUCAUCAUGGCCCUUAUGUCCAGGGCGACACACGUGCUACAAUGGCCGGCACAACGGGAAGCGAGUUCGCGAGGACGAGCGGAUCCCUUAAAGCCGGUCGCAGUUCGGAUUGAAGUCUGCAACUCGACUUCAUGAAGCUGGAAUCGCUAGUAAUCGUGGAUCAGCCAAGCCGCGGUGAAUACGUUCCCGGGCCUU